rnacentral:tRNA from 1 species
GCGAGAGUGGUGGAAUUGGCAGACACGCUAGACUUAGGAUCUAGUGCCUCACGGUGUAAGGGUUCAAGUCCCUUCUCUCGCA